rnacentral:piRNA from 1 species
UGGUGGCUGCUCUAGACGGGAUGACC